rnacentral:rRNA from 1 species
GACGAACGCUGGCGGCGUGCUUAACACAUGCAAGUCGAACGGUAAGGCCCUUCGGGGUACACGAGUGGCGAACGGGUGAGUAACACGUGGGUGAUCUGCCCUGCACUUCGGGAUAAGCCUGGGAAACUGGGUCUAAUACCGGAUAGGACUCCUGGCUUCAUGGUUGGGGGUGGAAAGCUUUUGCGGUGUGGGAUGGGACCGCGGCCUAUCAGCUUGUUGGUGGGGUAAUGGCCUACCAAGGCGACGACGGGUAGCCGGCCUGAGAGGGUGACCGGUCACACUGGGACUGAGAUACGGCCCAGACUCCUACGGGAGGCGGCAGUGGGGAAUAUUGCACAAUGGGCGCAAGCCUGAUGCAGCGACGCCGCGUGAGGGAUGACGGCCUUCGGGUUGUAAACCUCUUUCAGCUAUGACGAAGCGCAAGUGACGGUAGUAGCAGAAGAAGGACCGGCCAACUACGUGCCAGCCGCCGCCGUAACAC